GAGAUGGAUUGGUGCCUUCGGGAACUCUGAGACAGGUGCUGCAUGGCUGUCGUCAGCUCGUGUUGUGAAAUGUUGGGUUAAGUCCCGCAACGAGCGCAACCCUUAUCCUUUGUUGCCAGCGGUCCGGCCGGGAACUCAAAGGAGACUGCCAGUGAUAAACUGGAGGAAGGUGGGGAUGACGUCAAGUCAUCAUGGCCCUUACGAGUAGGGCUACACACGUGCUACAAUGGCGCAUACAAAGAGAAGCGACCUCGCGAGAGCAAGCGGACCUCAUAAAGUGCGUCGUAGUCCGGAUUGGAGUCUGCAACUCGACUCCAUGAAGUCGGAAUCGCUAGUAAUCGUAGAUCAGAAUGCUACGGUGAAUACGUUCCCGGGUCUUGUACACACCGA
rnacentral:rRNA from 4 species